rnacentral:lncRNA from 1 species
GGUUAGGGAGUCACCCUUCUGGUAAGGGGAAUGGACGAGUUUGGCUACACAUAGCCUUAGCACGCUCAUUCUUUUUCUAACCAAAAGGAAAAACAAAAGUCACGAUUUAGGGUCUCCCCGUACCCGUCUUGCUUGCAUGCCUCUAGGGUUCAUGCAUUUCAUUCAUCCAUUAUCAUUUUGCACUCUCACUUCAUAUUCUAUCCCUUUUCCCAUAUUUUUCACUUCACACAACUCUUAUUUUGCACAUUUUUUACUCUACCACUUGCACUUUAUAUACUACUACUAAGCACACAUGCACUUCACACUAUCACUUUACGUACCUCACCUUGCACACCCAUUUACACACUAUUAUCUUUUAUAUUUUGCUCACUUCACACAAGCUCAUGUUUUCACAUUGCAUACAUUCAUUUCAUUCAUUUUUUCGUCAUUAGCAUUACUCGUGACCUCUUAGAGGGCUUAUCCUUGGCUAUCACAACUCAUGUGAUCUAGUCCGAUCGAGCCUCUAAGAGAUAUUUGUCCCUUUCGAUUCAUCAUUAGAUUUAGGAUUGCAUCCAUGUUAGUCACAUCCAAAUGCGAUACAUCUUUGGCUAGAAAUUAGGAAAAUCAUGACUAAAUCAUGCAACUAGCUUAGGCUAGGUUGAGAGGGUGCCUUAGACAUUGUCUUUGCCUUCCCUCUCUUCAACCGCGACCCCCGAACCAUUUUCUCUGAUUUAUCGUAGAUUUUAGAGUCAAUCUAAAAAGGCUUUUUUUACAUUUUUAAAUUCACAUUUUUUGGGUGACUUGGUACACCCUAACUCGAUACCAAUUGGUGACUCCUACACUCUUAUCAAAACCUUUUUAGAUUACUAUUUUGGCCAAACCGUCGCAUUUCAAAGUCCCAUGGCCUUUUUCUUUUUCACACACAUCACUAUUUUUCAAACCAUAUCUCACUCACUUAUUAUACUAUUUAUUUUUAUUAAAAAAUGGGGCGCGACAUCGCCCUUAAAAGAAAGCCUUAUUCCUCGCUUUCCACAAAUUCCAACAAAUCAAAGAAGGCACAAGUCGGAGGAGGCAAUUAAGCUGAGGAAUCCUAGCUAGCUUCAGCCCCCAAUCAAUGAUCUUAUGUCUAACAGUCGAGUUGGAGCUAGACCCUCCAACCACCACUUCAAAAAAAACCCUAUUGAUGGGCUCUUGACUAGGGUGAGAACAACAGAAACAAUGGGAUGGGCCCAAGAUGCCAAACCUAUGUAAGCUAGCAUUACUGGCAAUCUACCAGCCAUCACUCUUAGCAUAAAAAAUGACAUUUUUUACGGCACACCCGAAAGCCAUUGCCACCUUGUCAAACUACCUGAUAGGCUGAGGAUAUAAAGAACUCACCCGAGUGAGUAGGAGACUACAACACUGUAUCCAUCCAUUUUGAACAAGGAGGAGAAAUCUUCAACACUUGAUGUACCCAUCCAGCAGGUAACACACGAUAUAACCACUGCAAACUCCACCCACCAUUUUCCACAAAAUUCAAAACAACAUAUUCUUCAAAGAACUCCACCUGUUUGCACAAAGGGCCAGUCCCCAACCAAUUAUCAUGCCAAAAACUUGAUGAGCCACUAUUCAAAAUCCAUGUUAUGUGCUGCUCCUCCACACCUUGGACCGAUAACAUCCGCUUCCAAGUACAUGAGUGCCCUAGCAUAACAUCUGCAAAGCAAGGAUGACCAUUCAGACUAUAUUUACAAUGCAUGAACUCCACCCAACCAAAGAAAAUCUAAUUAAUUGUUCUUGUGAUGCUGAGAUCUUUUGUUUUGGGAUUCCUCCAUAGCCUAUGUUAUAGGCAUCCAUUUCUACUAUCAUAAAUGCAGAUGGUUGAGAAAUUCCUGAA